rnacentral:rRNA from 1 species
AAGUCGAACGGUGAACUUGGGAGCUUGCUCCUGGGGGAUCAGUGGCGAACGGGUGAGUAACACGUGAGCAAUCUGCCCUUGACUCUGGGAUAAGCGUUGGAAACGACGUCUAAUACCGGAUACGAGCUUCAGCCGCAUGGCUAGGAGUUGGAAAGAAUUUUGGUCAAGGAUGAGCUCGCGGCCUAUCAGCUUGUUGGUGAGGUAAUGGCUCACCAAGGCGACGACGGGUAGCCGGCCUGAGAGGGUGACCGGCCACACUGGGACUGAGACACGGCCCAGACUCCUACGGGAGGCAGCAGUGGGGAAUAUUGCACAAUGGGCGAAAGCCUGAUGCAGCAACGCCGCGUGAGGGACGACGGCCUUCGGGUUGUAAACCUCUUUUAGCAGGGAAGAAGCGAAAGUGACGGUACCUGCAGAAAAAGCACCGGCUAACUACGUGCCAGCAGCCGCGGUAAUACGUAGGGUGCAAGCGUUGUCCGGAAUUAUUGGGCGUAAAGAGCUCGUAGGCGGUUUGUCGCGUCUGCUGUGAAAUCCCGAGGCUCAACCUCGGGCCUGCAGUGGGUACGGGCAGACUAGAGUGCGGUAGGGGAGAUUGGAAUUCCUGGUGUAGCGGUGGAAUGCGCAGAUAUCAGGAGGAACACCGAUGGCGAAGGCAGAUCUCUGGGCCGUAACUGACGCUGAGGAGCGAAAGCGUGGGGAGCGAACAGGAUUAGAUACCCUGGUAGUCCACGCCGUAAACGUUGGGAACUAGAUGUGGGGACCAUUCCACGGUCUCCGUGUCGCAGCUAACGCAUUAAGUUCCCCGCCUGGGGAGUACGGCCGCAAGGCUAAAACUCAAAGGAAUUGACGGGGGCCCGCACAAGCGGCGGAGCAUGCGGAUUAAUUCGAUGCAACGCGAAGAACCUUACCAAGGCUUGACAUAUACGAGAACGGGCCAGAAAUGGUCAACUCUUUGGACACUCGUAAACAGGUGGUGCAUGGUUGUCGUCAGCUCGUGUCGUGAGAUGUUGGGUUAAGUCCCGCAACGAGCGCAACCCUCGUCCUAUGUUGCCAGCACGUAAUGGUGGGAACUCAUGGGAUACUGCCGGGGUCAACUCGGAGGAAGGUGGGGAUGACGUCAAAUCAUCAUGCCCCUUAUGUCUUGGGCUUCACGCAUGCUACAAUGGCCGGUACAAAGGGCUGCAAUACCGUAAGGUGGAGCGAAUCCCAAAAAGCCGGUCUCAGUUCGGAUUGAGGUCUGCAACUCGACCUCAUGAAGUCGGAGUCGCUAGUAAUCGCAGAUCAGCAACGCUGCGGUGAAUACGUUCCCGGGCCUUGUACACACCGCCCGUCAAGUCAUGAAAGUCGGUAACACCCGAAGCCGGUGGCCCAACCAUUUAUGGAGGGA